rnacentral:rRNA from 1 species
AACGAACGCUGGCGGCAGGCCUAACACAUGCAAGUCGAGCGAGAUCUUCGGGUCUAGCGGCGGACGGGUGAGUAACGCGUGGGGAUAUGCCCUUCUCUGCGGAAUAGCCUCGGGAAACUGAGCUUAAUACCGCAGACGCCCUUUGGGGGAAAGAUUUAUCGGAGAAGGAUUAGCCCGCGUUGGAUUAGGUAGUUGGUGGGGUAACGGCCUACCAAGCCGACGAUCCAGAGCUGGUUUGAGAGGAUGAUCAGCCACACUGGGACUGAGACGCGGCCCAGACUCCUACGGGAGGCAGCAGUGGGGAAUCUUAGACAAGGGGGGCAACCCUGAUCUAGCCAGGCCGCGUGAGUGAUGAAGGCCUUAGGGUUGUAAAGCUCUUUCAGCUGGGAAGAUAAUGACGGUACCAGCAGAAGAAGCCCCGGCUAACUCCGUG